rnacentral:rRNA from 1 species
AACGGGGGGAGCAAUCCCCUAGUGGCAGACGGCUGAGUAACACGUGAGUACCUACCCGACGCAGGGGGAUAGUCGUUCGAAAGGACGGGUAAUACCGCGUAAGCUCUCGCAAGAGAGGAGAGCAGAGAUGCGGCGUUGGAGGGGCUCGCGGCCCAUCAGGUAGUAGGUGGGGUGAUGGCCUACCUAGCCGAUGACGGGUAGCUGGUCUGAGAGGAUGAUCAGCCAGACUGGGACUGAGACACGGUCCAGACUCCUACGGGAGGCAGCAGUGGGGAAUAUUGCGCAAUGGGCGAAAGCCUGACGCAGCAACGCCGCGUGAGUGAUGAAGGCCUUCGGG